rnacentral:misc_RNA from 1 species
GAUGAAGAACGCAGCGAAAUGCGAUAAGUAAUGUGAAUUGCAGAAUUCAGUGAAUCAUCGAAUCUUUGAACGCACAUUGCGCCCGCUGGUAUUCCGGCGGGCAUGCCUGUUCGAGCGUCAUUUCAACCCUCAAGCUCUCCGGAGUUUGGUGUUGGGGCGCCUGGGGCUUUUCGACCUCAGGGCCCUCAAGUCCAUCGGCGGGACCGCCAGGACACUGAGCGCAGUAGUAUUAUUUCGCUCGGUAGGAUCUUCCACGGCGGGUCGAUCUGGCCGCUAAACCCCCCAAUUCUCACCAAAGGUUGGCCUCGGAUCAGGUAGGAAUACCCGCUGAACUUAAGCAUAUCAAUAAGCGGAGGA